AUUCUGAUUUAGUUGGGGCCUGGGGGAGUCCUGGCAGGAAUAAGUUUUCAAACUCUGCAUGUGAUUCUGAUUUGCAACCAGGGUUGAGAACUCCUGGUCUAGAUCACUGGUUCUCAAAUUUGCCUGCACAUUGAAAGCACUUGGGAAGUUUUAAAAAAUACUGGUACUUUCCUCCCACCUUCAAAAUUCUGAUUUGUAAUCGGAUGCAGCCUGGGCAUCCAGAAGUGAUUCUAAUAGGUCUAAUAUGCAGACAAGUUUGACAAGCAGUUUUCUAGACUGAACAAGUCAGUGGUAGCUUGAUGGCUCCUCCAGACACUGUGGUUCUCAAUGACUGCUCCCUGGACCAGCAUCAGCAUCACAGGGGAACUGUUUAGAGAUGCGAUUCUCAUGCUGCACCUCAGACCCACCGAAUCAGCAAUGCUGGGGGUGGGGUGGAGCGAUCUGUGUUGUAACAAGCCCUCUAGAUGACUCGGAUGCACCCUAAAUUCAGAGAAUCACGCUGCGUCACCACUGCUGUUACUUGAGGGUCCUGCCUUCCCUCCUCCUGGAGAGCAGCCAGAGCAAGAAGCAAGGGCUUCAAUCCUCUGAACGCUGGGCUAUGCCACGUCCCCAGUUUCCAGAUAAGCGAUGCCAGAAGUCUUGGGGUGACUGAGUUUUUAUAUAAUCUGUGGAGCUUUUGUUGGCUGGAAACUGGGAGCAUUGAGUUGGGAGAGCCAGUUGUGGGUUGCAGUGCCAUCAGAGCACGGCAGAGGGCACGGGAGGGAAGGCAGGUAGUGCCAGGCAGCCGUGGCCCCUGUUGUCUGGGAUGUGAAGUCCGAGAGGGGACAGGAGGGAAGUAAAACUAACAGGCAAGAAAUCCUCUGAGGGAAGACGAGAUUGGUCAAAGCCGAAGGACAGGUGCUAACAGUGAGUAUCGACUGCAAACCAGCAAAGUGCCAAAGGACCUUCAAGGAGAGCAAAUCAAUGGGCCAGAAGUGAUAAUUUUCUAGAAGUUCUGGGAGGAAGCACGAGCUUCUGAAGCACAGCCGUUCACCGCCUUGCACCCGGUCUGUGGCCCUUUGUUAUGGCAGCCCUAGUGAACUGACACAGCUCCCUCCCUGAAUCGGACUGGCCUGUGCUUACGGAGAUGGCAUUAUGACCCAGGCCACAUCAUAAAGGCUAUAGACCUUCCAUUGGGUCUCUUGGGAGACUGGUCAGCCACGCUGUGAAGAAGCCCCGGUCAUCUGAAAAGGUCACAUGCUGGUGUUCCAGCCCACAAUCCCAGGCUCUUUCCAGGUUGUUCUGCUCUGGAAGGCUAGCCAACCAAAGCUUUCUAGCAAAAGCGACUUGCUCCCACGUGCCUCUAGUGGAGGACAUGGAGACUGCCUGCGGCACAGGGGCCCAUGUUUGUACUGACUGCAGUCAACCUGCCCCCUCCCCCGGACCCCAGCUUGGUGUCAGUGUGUCCUGCAGACGGCCGCCCCCCCCAGAAUCACUUUAGGGAGCCCCAUCUUUCCCAACCAGAGAAAUUUCUCUUCACAGUCACAGCCCCUGGGUGACUACAAAUAAAAAAUAAGUAAAUGCA
rnacentral:lncRNA from 1 species